rnacentral:rRNA from 1 species
AGAGCGAACGCUGGCGGCAGGCUUAACACAUGCAAGUCGAGCGCCGUAGCAAUACGGAGCGGCAGACGGGUGAGUAACACGUGGGAACGUACCUUUUGGUUCGGAACAACCCAGGGAAACUUGGGCUAAUACCGGAUAAGUCCGUAAGGAGAAAGAUUUAUCGCCAAAAAGAUCGGCCCGCGUCUGAUUAGCUAGUUGGUGAGGUAACGGCUCACCAAGGCGACGAUCAGUAGCUGGUCUGAGAGGAUGAUCAGCCACAUUGGGACUGAGACACGGCCCAAACUCCUACGGGAGGCAGCAGUGGGGAAUAUUGGACAAUGGGCGCAAGCCUGAUCCAGCCAUGCCGCGUGAGUGAUGAAGGCCUAGGGUUGUAAAGCUCGUUUCGGCGGGAAGAUAAGUGACCGGUACCCGCGAAGAAGAACGCCCGGACUAACUUCGUGUCAGCAGCCG